AGUGAACGCUGGCGGUAGGCCUAACACAUGCAAGUCGAACGGCAGCACAGUAAGAGCUUGCUCUUACGGGUGGUGAGUGGCGGACGGGUGAGGAAUACAUCGGAAUCUACUUUUUCGUGGGGGAUAACGUAGGGAAGCUUACGCUAAUACCGCAUACGACCUACGGGUGAAAGCAGGGGAUCUUCGGACCUUGCGCGAUUGAAUGAGCCGAUGUCGGAUUAGCUAGUUGGCGGGGUAAAGGCCCACCAAGGCGACGAUCCGUAGCUGGUCUGAGAGGAUGAUCAGCCACACUGGAACUGAGACACGGUCCAGACUCCUACGGGAGGCAGCAGUGGGGAAUAUUGGACAAUGGGCGCAAGCCUGAUCCAGCCAUACCGCGUGGGUGAAGAAGGCCUUCGGGUUGUAAAGCCCUUUUGUUGGGAAAGAAAAGCAGCAGGUUAAUACCCCGCUGUUCUGACGGUACCCAAAGAAUAAGCACCGGCUAACUUCGUG
rnacentral:rRNA from 1 species